CCCCAAGGGCCCUUGGUUCCCGCGGUGCCCUCGGGCCCCGGAGGCGGCGUCUUCUCCCCUCCGGUUUGGGAUGAAUUUUCUCCCGUUUCCCCAGGAGACAGUGACUGCCUUGGGAGACAUAUCGAUCCCAAGCUUCUCGGGACUCCACUUUCCUCCAUAUUGGCCGUUCCCUGGCGGGGUUAACCUUCCUCCCCGCCCCCAGCGUGUUUCAGGGCUGGCAGGGAAGGUUCCCGCCGCGCUGAGUCUAGGGCACAGGGUCAUGGAAGGCGGGAAACCAGGAAACUCCACUCCUUACUUCACAGUCCUGCCAGCUGCCUCACAGUGCGAGGCAAAAAUGGAGGAACACUGAAGAAAUGAAAGUCAGAAGAACUUCCAGGAAUCGCGCACUUCGCCCUCAAACAUUGAGAAUGCUCUAGAGGGCUGUUCGCCUAUGCUGAUUCGCUGAACUGAACAGGGAGCAGAAACCCCAGGGCACACUCCAUGUAAGACCAGAUGCUGGAACGAUCAGACACAGGACCCAAGCCCUUUGGAGCCUCCAUUUAUCGACUAUCAAAGGAGGAUGCGUUGUGAAGAAGCACGAACGGGAGGGAGUGUGAACUCUGCCUGUUAGCUGAUUCACUCAACCACCCUCUACCGCUCCCACCCCUGGGCUUGGUGCUGGGACAGCGAUGACGGGGAGAGGGUCCUGCCUCACAGGACUACAACAGCCAAAGGGCUGUGGGUGCAAGGGGGACAGGGCAGGUGUUCUGCCUCUUUAGGGGAGGCCUUGAAGGGGAAGGUGGAGCCCUGAAGCAUGAGUCUGCAGAAGUAGCAAUCAUUCAAUAAAUACAUGCUGAUUUAUUACAGGGAUAAGAUGGUUUCUUGGGGGAUAGAUUCAAGAGGAGUUGAGAAUGUUUUAUUCAUUUAC
rnacentral:lncRNA from 1 species